GGUUUGCAUGAUGAAAUUCAAAUACAUGAUUCAAUAUCUACUAGCAUUGGAAUUUUUACUGUUACUCACUUCAAAUCCACUCCAUUUCAUGGCCCGAGGAAGACAGAUAUCGAAACAGUCCGAUUUCACAAUAAGAAUUAAUGAAGAAAAGGUGAUGAAAAUGGGAGUGAUAGGAUCAAAGCCUCCAAGAUGU